CGUGGCCCAUGGUGGUCCCUGCGAGGGUGGUCCCUGCGUGGGUGGACCAGGGGUCCAUCCUCCCGGUCCUGCCCUGCAG
rnacentral:miRNA from 1 species